CUCAAGGUCCUUUAAAUAGCUCAUAGGUUUGCUUUUUGUCUAUGUAUUUAUUUGAGACAGGGUAUCACUUUGUCACCUAGGCUGGAGUACAAUGGUGUGAUCUUGGCUGAAUGCAGCUUUGACCUCCCAGGUGAACCUUGAAACCAAUCCUCUUGCUUCAGCCUCCCAGGUAGCUGGGAUUACAAGGGCGCACCACCACACCUGGCUAAUUUUUGUAUUUUUAAUAGAGACAGGGUUUCACCGUGAUGGCCAGGCUGGUCUGGAACUCCUGGCCUCAAGUAAUCCACCCACCUUGGCCUCCCAAAGUGCUGGGAUUACAGGCGUGAGCCACCAUGCCCAGCGAAUAUUUCUUUUUUCAAAUGGAGACUAAGAAACAUAACUGAAGCUAUUAUUGAUGACAAGGGCAUAAUAUAAACUCCAAUUACCAAUAAGAACAUAAGAAUGCUCUCAAAGAUCUCAUGCUACCGAGCUUUUGUGGGUUUUUUUUUUCUUUUUUUGAGACAGCCUCACUCUGUCACACUGCACUGGGGUGCAGUGGCACAAUCUCAGCUCACUGCAACCUCUGAGUCCUGGGUUCAAGCAAUUCUCGUGCUUCAGUCUCCUGAGUAGCUGGGACUACAGGUACAUGCCACCACACCCAUUGACUUUUUUUUUUUUUUUUUCUUAGUAGAAAUGGGGUUUCACCAUGUUGGCCAGGCUGGUCUCAAACUCCUGACCACCUGCCUCGGCCUCCCAAAGUGCUGGGAUUACAUGUGUGAGCCACCAUGCCUGGCCUUUUUUGGUUUCUUUUGUAUCAGCUGUUCUAACUCCAUGACUUUAGUCAGUCAUCACAGAAAACCUCGAAUGCUUGAUCCCUUUCCAGAGAUAUUCCUCAGGUAGCAUACUAUUCUUUUGUGACCUUUCCUCACAUUAAAAAAUAUAAAAAAACUUUGGGAGGCCGAGACGGGCGAAUCACGAGUUCCAGACCAGCCUGGCCAACAUGGUGAAACCCGAUCUCUACCAAAAAAUACAAAA
rnacentral:lncRNA from 1 species